AGUGAACGCUGGCGGUAGGCCUAACACAUGCAAGUCGAACGGCAGCACAGUAAGAGCUUGCUCUUACGGGUGGCGAGUGGCGGACGGGGGAGGAAUACAUCGGAAUCUACUUUGUCGUGGGGGAUAACGUAGGGAAACUUACGCUAAUACCGCAUACGACCUACGGGUGAAAGCAGGGGAUCUUCGGACCUUGCGCGAUUGAAUGAGCCGAUGUCGGAUUAGCUAGUUGGCGGGGUAAAGGCCAACCAAGGCGACGAGCCGUAGCUGGUCUGAGAGGAUGAUCAGCCACACUGGAACUGAGACACGGUCCAGACUCCUACGGGAGGCAGCAGUGGGGAAUAUUGGACAAUGGGCGCAAGCCUGAUCCAGCCAUACCGCGUGGGUGAAGAAGGCCUUCGGGUUGUAAAGCCCUUUUGUUGGGAAAGAAAAGCAGCAGGUUAAUACCCCGCUGUUCUGACGGUACCCAAAGAAUAAGCACCGGCUAACUUCGUG
rnacentral:rRNA from 1 species